GUGUUUUCUGAAAAAUAACUUUUUGAAUUUGCUUGUUUGCAACAUGAAGGAGUUAUUUCUGUGCUUGCUUUUGGGGAUAAUUGUUCAGCUGAUAACAGCAUUCCCCGGGUAUUAUCCCACGUGGUCAUCUAAUCCAUGGCAACAGCAAGGCUACUAUAACCCGUGGUUUGAUCCACAGACUUACAUGAUGGGCAAGUUUUAUGAGGAAAUAUUCGACUAAGCUCGUAGAAAAGUUUCUCUCUGGCAUCGUUUAUGUGUUCUUCUUUAUUGUUGUGAGAGCUGUAAUUGUUAUUUCAGAUAAAACAUAAAAUUGAUGUCAUUUUGAAAACAAAUAAAUUUUAUUUAAAGA